GCGGCGUGCUUAACACAUGCAAGUCGAACGGUGAACACGGAGCUUGCUCUGUGGGAUCAGUGGCGAACGGGUGAGUAACACGUGAGCAACCUGCCCCUGACUCUGGGAUAAGCGCUGGAAACGGCGUCUAAUACUGGAUAUGUGACGUGACCGCAUGGUCUGCGUUUGGAAAGAUUUUUCGGUUGGGGAGGGGCUCGCGGCCUAUCAGCUUGUUGGUGAGGUAAUGGCUCACCAAGGCGUCGACGGGUAGCCGGCCUGAGAGGGUGACCGGCCACACUGGGACUGAGACACGGCCCAGACUCCUACGGGAGGCAGCAGUGGGGAAUAUUGCACAAUGGGCGAAAGCCUGAUGCAGCAACGCCGCGUGAGGGAUGACGGCCUUCGGGUUGUAAACCUCUUUUAGCAGGGAAGAAGCGAAAGUGACGGUACCUGCAGAAAAAGCGCCGGCUAACUACGUGCCAGCAGCCGCGGUAAUACGUAGGGCGCAAGCGUUAUCCGGAAUUAUUGGGCGUAAAGAGCUCGUAGGCGGUUUGUCGCGUCUGCUGUGAAAUCCCGAGGCUCAACCUCGGGCCUGCAGUGGGUACGGGCAGACUAGAGUGCGGUAGGGGAGAUUGGAAUUCCUGGUGUAGCGGUGGAAUGCGCAGAUAUCAGGAGGAACACCGAUGGCGAAGGCAGAUCUCUGGGCCGUAACUGACGCUGAGGAGCGAAAGGGUGGGGAGCAAACAGGCUUAGAUACCCUGGUAGUCCACCCCGUAAACGUUGGGAACUAGUUGUGGGGUCCAUUCCACGGAUUCCGUGACGCAGCUAACGCAUUAAGUUCCCCGCCUGGGGAGUACGGCCGCAAGGCUAAAACUCAAAGGAAUUGACGGGGACCCGCACAAGCGGCGGAGCAUGCGGAUUAAUUCGAUGCAACGCGAAGAACCUUACCAAGGCUUGACAUAUACGAGAACGGGCC
rnacentral:rRNA from 1 species